rnacentral:rRNA from 1 species
UACGUAGGGCGCAAGCGUUGUCCGGAAUUAUUGGGCGUAAAGAGCUCGUAGGCGGCCUGUUACGUCUGCUGUGAAAUCCCGGGGCUUAACCCCGGGCGUGCAGUGGAUACGGGCAGGCUGGAGGCAGGCAGGGGAGAACGGAAUUCCCGGUGUAGCGGUGAAAUGCGCAGAUAUCAGGAGGAACACCGGUGGCGAAGGCGGGUCUCUGGGCAGUAACUGACGUGAGGAGCGAAAGCGUGGGGAGCGAACAGG